UACGGAGGGAGCUAGCGUUGUUCGGAAUUACUGGGCGUAAAGCGUGCGUAGGCGGUUAUUCAAGUCAGAGGUGAAAGCCCGGGCUCAACCCGGAACGGCCUUUGAAACUAGGUAACUAGAAUCUUGGAGAGGUUAGUGGAAUUCCGAGUGUAGAGGUGAAAUUCGUAGAUAUUCGGAAGAACACCAGUGGCGAAGGCGACUAACUGGACAAGUAUUGACGCUGAGGUACGAAAGCGUGGGAGCAAACAGGG
rnacentral:rRNA from 1 species